UUAAACCAUAGAUUAUGAGUCAACCAGGGUUGGCCCAAGAUAAAUAUCUGAUGUGUGGUUAGUCAUAUGGUGAGUCAGUGUUCUAAUCAGUGGUAGAGUUAAUCAGUCGGGGUUACUCACCAUGCCUAACUUUCAUGCACUCCUUCCAGAGGGAAAAUACAUGCAUUCUUUUGGCAUAUUUGGUUUUGCAUGUACAUCAUUAUGUUUCUCCUCCCACUACCACAAGAAAAAGAUAUUAAUUGUAGUAAAAAAUAAAGUUAUAAACUUCUGGCAAGCUAAAACUGAGAACAGGUUAUCAAAGGGAUGUGUGCCUGUUCACUUUUAGAAGUGUAUUAGGUCUUUCAUAGCUGAGAAAGGACAGAAAUAGGGAGAUAAAGUCGUUCACCUCAGAUCACAAGCUAAAUUGGUGGUAAAGGCUGGACUAGAAUCUAGAUGUAAUGGGUAACUUUCACCCACAUUAUGUCAGUCCCAUUUAGACUUCCUUGGUUGACUAGUAUUGAUGUAACCAAAAAGACAUCUACUCAAAAUUCAAUAUUCUAAUGGUAGUUAUUGAGAACUUACUAUCUGUCUGGUCCUGUUUAAAGAGUAGGACAUAUAGCAGUGAAUCAGGCACUUUUUUUUUUUUUUUAUCAAGAACUUUCUGGCAAAGAUAUAUAUUUUGUUCCUGCGAGAGGCCAUUUGUUGCAUAUCAACAGCCAGAUAAGCCUUAAACAAACAGGUAAGGCAGCUGAAGUUUGAAGAAGUUAAAUAACUUAUCAAAAGUUUGGACAGAACCUACAAUCAAAACCACGUCCUUUUGAUGCCGAAGUUCAUUUUCUUCCAUGCUACACAGUCUUACAUCAAGACAGCGUGUUGGCUGAUAUCAGACAGAGAAGACUAAAAUCCACAAGGGGAAAUUUAUGGAGGUUUCUGUACAAAAAAAAGAAGAGGAAGAGCAAGGAGGAAAAGGAGGAGAACAGAAAAGAGAGGAAGGAGGAGUAGAAGGAGAGAAAUGACCAUUCUACCUAAAUAAACAACUCUAUCUAAAUCAUGCAUCAGCAGGAGGAUAUUUAUGGCCUCAGCACAUUUCUUUUACUGCAUGCUAGAGACACUUGGCUUUUCCCUCGCAAAUUCAAAUGUCAGUGGAAUGGCUAACUCAUGUGAACAGGCUUUUUUCCCAGGGAGGAGCCAGCCACACAAUAAAAUUUAAAUGGAAAAAAAGCUUCCUGAUGUUUCUCUGCGGUACUUUGAAUCAUGCCAACUGCUAGACCAGAUUAAUUACACAAUUGUAAGAGCAGGAAAUAAACUAAUUGAGGAUAUUAUCCUCCUCUUUCUUUUCGAGAAAUACUGUUUUGUCUUGAUAUGAGUCCUCUCUUUCACCUUGACUUGUUUUGUUAACUCAACCACUUCUCAAACUUUUCAAGAGGGGACUGUGUAUGACUUGAACCUAAGUUUUUCCCAAAUGAGAAGCAGCAAUUACUUUAGUGCUUGCUUCCUCAGUAAUGGAAUUCUUGAUUGCUUUUGAAAGCAUUCUAGCAUAUAAAAGGGGGGGUCUUUCUGCCAAAAGUAAAAUUCUAAUUCAAGACAGGUAAAAUGGGUAGGGCCUGGUUCAACAGAUUAAAUCCAUAUUUUCAUACUUUAAAUCAAUCCCUCCUUAUCUGUCAGCCAUUGUUCAGGGGAACACAGACUUUAGAAGUGCAAAUUUUUCCAGCCUAACUCUAUUAUAAUAAUGUAUGUAUUCAAAUA
rnacentral:lncRNA from 1 species